AUGGCAAGCCUGCAGAGCUUGAUUUCCAAACAGUUGAUUGCGCCGAACUGUACGGCUAGUGCCAGGCUGAAUGGGGCUCCUCCUUCGGUGGUGAACGCGAGCUCGAGCGAAGCAUCCUCGGAUGAGAAGAAGGUCACAAAAAGGAGAUUAGCACUGCUUGGUGCUGGGGCAUUAUCCACUGUCCUAUUAAACAGCAGCUCUGCAUAUGCUGAAGAAGUACCAAAGAACUACAGCUCUUACGUCGAUGCAAACGACGGAUAUUCAUACCUCUACCCAGCUGAUUGGAGGGAUUUCGACUUCUUGGGCCAUGAUUCAGCGUUCAAGGACCGUAAUGUGCAGCUGCAGUCUGUCCGUGUGGCCUUCGUUCCUACUCAGAAAACAGACAUUCGUGACCUAGGCCCAAUGGAUGAGGCGAUCUUCAAUUUGGUAACCGAAGUGUACGCUGCCCCGAACCAGAUACCAACGAUCUAUGAAAUGCAAGAGCGUACGGUGGAUGGCAGGAACUACUGGACAUUUGAGUACGAUCUGGAGGCGCCGGGCUACGGCGUGUCGGCGUUUGCGACGGUCGCCAUCGGGAACGGGAGGUACUACACGCUGAUCGUGACGGCUAACGAGCGGCGGUGGAGCAGGCUGCGCAACAAGCUCAAAGUCGUCGCCGACUCCUUCAAGAUCUCGGACUUGAACGCGUGA
rnacentral:rRNA from 1 species